rnacentral:rRNA from 1 species
UAGGGAAUCUUCCACAAUGGACGCAAGUCUGAUGGAGCAACGCCGCGUGAGUGAAGAAGGUUUUCGGAUCGUAAAGCUCUGUUGUUGGUGAAGAAGGAUAGAGGCAGUAACUGGUCUUUAUUUGACGGUAAUCAACCAGAAAGUCACGGCUAACUACGUGCCAGCAGCCGCGGUAAUACGUAGGUGGCAAGCGUUGUCCGGAUUUAUUGGGCGUAAAGCGAGCGCAGGCGGAAUGAUAAAUCUGAUGUGAAAGCCCACGGCUCAACCGUGGAACUGCAUCGGAAACUGUCAUUCUUGAGUGCAGAAGAGGAGAGUGGAAUUCCAUGUGUAGCGGUGGAAUGCGUAGAUAUAUGGAAGAACACCAGUGGCGAAGGCGGCUCUCUGGUCUGCAACUGACGCUGAGGCUCGAAAGCAUGGGUAGCGAACAGG